rnacentral:lncRNA from 10 species
AGGACCCUGAAGGCAAAAUGAAAAAAUAGCUGGAGUUUAUCUAAGAUUGGUACUGUGGUCUCAUACAACUUCUCCAUAGUGACAGAAAAGAGAUUUAGUAAUCUCUAACACUUGGCCUAAUCCUAGAUGCCUCCCAGCUGGGGGUCGCAUUUGGUCAGGAAGGAACUUCCAUGGUGACAAGAAGACAAGGCCAGAGGUACCACUUUGGAGGUUUCAUAACCUCCAAAGGGGAUAGAUAACAUGACUCAUUUUCCCAGCUCUAUUGUGGUUAUUCAAAUAAGUGACCAUAGUCAAUGUCUGUGAGCAGCUGCUGCAAGGUCAGGAGAACUCACCAAGACCUGAUGCUGUUUCAGUAUCACAGCAUGUCAAAGGAAUGAUUUCUAGCUUCCUGUAGACACCAUUAGCUAAAUUGCAGUAUCUGCUUCUCUUAUCGUCUUUGCCAGGGUCAUUGUUUCUUGCACUGAACCUCGGAGGAAGGAUGAGGAGAGAGGGCCUGUCUCAGAUACUUACCUGUAUAUACCUGUGGGAGGAAGAAGAAAAAGGUGUGUCCACCUAGAAUAAUUUGUUUGCUGGAAGUUCUGUUGUUGGCAGAAAAUGGAAGCUACAAACUAGUGUGGUUAUCAGCAGGGAAUGGGAUCAAAGUUUCAGUCCAACAAGUCCAGGCAACUUUCAGCUUGAAGGCCAAGGUGUUACUACUUAGAAUUUAGGGCACAGAAGGCUGGUGUGUGUCGGCAGUGAUAUUUGGGAGAAUGAGUCUGUUUGGGAGACACUUUAGGUCAUACCAGGUCAUCCUGGGUUGGCAUGACCAACUUCAAUUUCAUCUGAUUCUCCUUGGGUAGAAGUAUUUUUGAGAUGAAGAGCUGAGAUCGGCUAAUUUGUCAACAUUACAAAGCAGGAGACUUAUCCUUGUAACUCUUCUCCCUCACUGAACCUUCCCAGCAGCAGCUGCUGACAUAUGAACCUCGCAGAUGAAGAUGCCAUAGCAUGGCUAUUUCUCGACUGCACUGCUGAAGUUUAAGAACAUCAACCAGACUGCUGUGUUGAGAAGAAUACAGACACUGCAUUCAGAUUCAGUGAGAAAGAGUGCUUUGAUCAACUAAUAUUUUCUGCAGUGGUCCAUCCAUGUGUGUUGGGUUUUACUGUUCCUGGCUUAAGCAUUCUCUACAACCAUGAGCUUGCAACUAAAAUGCUGAGAAAUGUAUGGCUACCAUAAAGCCAGUUUAAAUCUAUAUGCCAAAAGGCCUUAUUUAAAUUUGUUGUGUCCAGUGUUUUAUUCUAACUAAAGAUAGUA